rnacentral:rRNA from 1 species
GACGAACGCUGGCGGCGUGCUUAACACAUGCAAGUCGAACGAAGAGCGACGGAAGCUUGCUUCUAUCAAUCUUAGUGGCGAACGGGUGAGUAACGCGUAAUCAACCUGCCCUUCAGAGGGGGACAACAGUUGGAAACGACUGCUAAUACCGCAUACGAUCUAAUCUCGGCAUCGAGGAUGGAUGAAAGGUGGCCUCUACAUGUAAGCUAUCACUGAAGGAGGGGAUUGCGUCUGAUUAGCUAGUUGGAGGGGUAACGGCCCACCAAGGCGAUGAUCAGUAGCCGGUCUGAGAGGAUGAACGGCCACAUUGGGACUGAGACACGGCCCAGACUCCUACGGGAGGCAGCAGUGGGGAAUCUUCCGCAAUGGACGAAAGUCUGACGGAGCAACGCCGCGUGAGUGAUGACGGCCUUCGGGUUGUAAAGCCCUGUUAAUCGGGACGAAAGGCCUUCUUGCGAAUAGUGAGAAGGAUUGACGGUACCGGAAUAGAAAGCCACGGCUAACUACGUG